GCCUGGGUGGCUCAGUCGGUUGAGUGUCCGACUUCUACUCAGAUCAUGAUCUUAGUUUGUGGGUUCGAGCCCCGCGUCAGGCU
rnacentral:tRNA from 1 species